UACGAAGGGGGCUAGCGUUGUUCGGAUUUACUGGGCGUAAAGCGCACGUAGGCGGAUCGUUAAGUCGGGGGUGAAAUCCUGGAGCUCAACUCCAGAACUGCCUUCGAUACUGGCGAUCUUGAGUCCGGAAGAGGUGAGUGGAACUCCUAGUGUAGAGGUGGAAUUCGUAGAUAUUAGGAAGAACACCAAGUGGCGAAGGCGGCUCACUGGUCCGGUACUGACGCUGAGGUGCGAAAGCGUGGGGAGCAAACAGG
rnacentral:rRNA from 1 species